CAUGGUUACGCUUGAAGCGGUUGUUUGGAGAACCGGACAGUUUAAAUGUUCGCGAUUUACUUUCAUAUAAAGUUACUUUUUUCUUUUGUCACCUUCUGCUAGCAUGACCAGCUGACCUUCCGUUGGAAAGUCAACGAGUUUGAAUCUGGCUGUCAUCCGUGAGCUGUAACAGCCGGGGCUGUGAACACAUUGCAGUGCCCGAGGGCAGUAGCGUGGACAACCUGUGCUCUCCUCACAUGAGUGAGCGGCGAGCGGUCCAGGGAUCCGAGCUGGCACGCUCAGCCAAACAGGUGUAUGAUGGGAAGACGCGGGCUGUGAAGGGUGAAUUUUCUUACGUGGAGGAUCCUUAUGCGGUGUUCAUUGCAUCCUACGCACUGAAAGCACAGGAAAGAAGUUUAAUUCACCUGACAGUACUUGUGCAGAUUAUGAGUUUCAGGUAUGAUG